UUAUGGUCAAAUCACACUGAAAACACCGGUUUUCGUUCGAUCAUCGAAGUUAAUUACUGUCGAUCCCGGUCAGUACUUAGAUGGGGGACCAUUUGGGAACACUGGAUACUGUAAG